CACGUAGGGUGCGAGCGUUGUCCGGAAUUAUUGGGCGUAAAGAGCUCGUGGGCGGUGUGUCGCGUCGGCCGUGAAAACCUGCAGCUUAACUGUGGGCGUGCGGUCGAUACGGGCAUCACUGGAGUUCGGCAGGGGAGACUGGAAUUCCUGGUGUAGCGGUGAAAUGCGCAGAUAUCAGGAGGAACACCGGUGGCGAAGGCGGGUCUCUGGGCCGAUACUGACGCUGAGGAGCGAAAGCGUGGGGAGCGAACAGG
rnacentral:rRNA from 1 species